rnacentral:lncRNA from 1 species
GCUAUGAGGAGAUUCUGAAGCUCCAGUGUGGCAUGUGAGAGCAGAUGCGUGUGACUGAGGUCGUGCCAGCACACCUGCAGUCCCAGAGACCUGGGAAGCUCCACCGACAAUUGCAAACCCCACGCCUGCGACUGCCUCCCCCAUGGGGCAGGACCUGGCAUGAGCAGAACCCGCACCUAAAGUACUCUAGUUGAAAUAGACGAGAAAAACAGAAAGCCG